GCCGUGAAAAUGUCUUUUGGACAAGUCAGGUCUGCUGCACCUAGAAAUCCACAGCAACAGCAGCUGUCUGGAAAGACAGGGCCUAUCAGCAUUGCACUAUGGGAUAAGGCCCAUCCCUACAUCAACUCCAGGCAGGGGCACCAUUCUCAGGGGUGUAGUCACUGGGGAUCCACUCAUGUUCAUGGUCCAAUUCCACCUUCACCCACAUAGCAGCCUUAAUUAAAUGCAGUGGUCCACAAAGAACAGAGGAGAACAGAACGGAACGGAACGGAACGGAACAGAACUGAUGCAAAGAGCCAUGAGACCUGCAGGAACAAAGAAGAUCAAGAUGUAGAACUCGCAGCUUCUCCAGUGACAUGCCUGCCUGGACGCUGCCCUGCUUCCUGCCUUGAUGAUAAUGGACUGAACACCUGAGCCUAAAGAAGACAAUAGACCUUGAAGAUACGGCUAUCUAUAGUCAGGGUGAGAACAAGGUAAGGCUCUAACCCUCAAUAAGGAAGGACAUGCUCAAAAAAUGAAGAAGACCCAGGAGAAGCACAGGGGCAGUUUCAGCUCUGAAGCACCCGGUCCUUGCAGGGUGUCACCCUCACCCUUGCAACAACACCAGGUGCCACAAUGCUCAACCACACGAGAAUUAGUGAGACGUUUUGAACCCAUCAAGGAACUGAGAGCAACCUUCUUGGAAUCCAUUUUCUAAAAAAUAAAGACAUUUUCAGAUCUGAGAGCUAAUGAGCAAAAGGAACUGAGAACAUGAGACGAAAUAUCACCCUGAAAACUGGGGAGACCGAUGGUCUUGAAUGAUACAGCAACUGUGACCUGUUUACUGGGAGCAGAAACUGCUGGAACCCUGGACAGAAUGGACCACCCAAAAGAUGCUUGUGAACUGCACUGUAUGACAAUGAGGAGGGCCCAGGGACAAAGACCUCCUUGGGCUUCUCCUAGAGAACACUGGCAGCUUCUUGUGUGGAAACUUUGCAUACACACUAAAACGGUACAAUUUAUUCCAUAC